rnacentral:rRNA from 1 species
GAGGAAUAUUGGUCAAUGGACGAGAGUCUGAACCAGCCAAGUAGCGUGAAGGAUGACUGCCCUAUGGGUUGUAAACUUCUUUUAUACGGGAAUAAAGUGAGGCACGUGUGCCUUUUUGUAUGUACCGUAUGAAUAAGGAUCGGCUAACUCCGUGCCAGCAGCCGCGGUAAUACGGAGGAUCCGAGCGUUAUCCGGAUUUAUUGGGUUUAAAGGGAGCGUAGGCGGACGCUUAAGUCAGUUGUGAAAGUUUGCGGCUCAACCGUAAAAUUGCAGUUGAUACUGGGUGUCUUGAGUACAGUAGAGGCAGGCGGAAUUCGUGGUGUAGCGGUGAAAUGCUUAGAUAUCACGAAGAACUCCGAUUGCGAAGGCAGCUUGCUGGACUGUAACUGAUGCUGAUGCUCGAAAGUGUGGGUAUCAAACAGGAUUAGAUACCCUGGUAGUCCACACAGUAAACGAUGAAUACUCGCUGUUUGCGAUAUACAGUAAGCGGCCAAGCGAAAGCGUUAAGUAUUCCACCUGGGGAGUACGCCGGCAACGGUGAAACUCAAAGGAAUUGACGGGGGCCCGCACAAGCGGAGGAACAUGUGGUUUAAUUCGAUGAUACGCGAGGAACCUUACCCGGGCUUGAAUUGCAACUGAAUGAUGUGGAGACAUGUCAGCCGCAAGGCAGUUGUGAAGGUGCUGCAUGGUUGUCGUCAGCUCGUGCCGUGAGGUGUCGGCUUAAGUGCCAUAACGAGCGCAACCCUUAUCGAUAGUUACCAUCAGGUUAUGCUGGGGACUCUGUCGAGACUGCCGUCGUAAGAUGUGAGGAAGGUGGGGAUGACGUCAAAUCAGCACGGCCCUUACGUCCGGGGCUACACACGUGUUACAAUGGGGGGUACAGAAGGCAGCUACACGGCGACGUGAUGCUAAUCCCGAAAGCCUCUCUCAGUUCGGAUUGGAGUCUGCAACCCGACUCCAUGAAGCUGGAUUCGCUAGUAAUCGCGCAUCAGCCACGGCGCGGUGAAUACGUUCCCG